UACGAAGGACCCAAGCGUUAUCCGGAUUUAUUGGGUUUAAAGGGUGCGUAGGCGGGUUAUUAAGUCAGUGGUGAAAGCCUGCAGCUUAACUGCAGAACUGCCAUUGAUACUGAUGAUCUUGAGUAUGAUUGAGGUGGGCGGAAUGUGUCAUGUAGCGGUGAAAUGCUUAGAUAUGACACAGAACACCGAUUGCGAAGGCAGCUCACUAAGCCAUAACUGACGCUGAUGCACGAAAGCGUGGGGAGCAAACAGG
rnacentral:rRNA from 1 species